AAUAACCUUAUUUUUCGUUUUUCCGUGUCCAACGUUUGACCAUUCGUUUUAUUUGAAAAAUUUGUGCAAAAACUUAAAAAAAAUUAGUCACGUAUAAAGUACUAUUCAUAUUUUAUCAUCUAGUAACAAUAAAAUAUUAAUCGUAAAAAAAAUUUCAAAUAAGACGAAUGGUCAAACGUUGGACACGAAAAA
rnacentral:pre_miRNA from 1 species